rnacentral:rRNA from 1 species
UACAGAGGGUGCAAGCGUUAAUCGGAAUGACUGGGCGUAAAGGGUGCGUAGGUGGCCGUUUAAGUUAGAUGUGAAAUCCCUGGGCUUAACCUAGGAACUGCAUUUAAUACUGGACGGCUAGAGUAUGGGAGAGGUAAGUGGAAUUUCCGGUGUAGCGGUGAAAUGCGUAGAUAUCGGAAGGAACACCAGUGGCGAAGGCGGCUUACUGGCCUAAUACUGACACUGAGGCACGAAAGCGUGGGGAGCAAACGGG